ACCUAUGAUGAUGACUGGUGGCGUAUGAGUCAUUGACGGUGAAUACAGGUCUGGAAGUCUGAGGUCCAAUAUAAUAAAAAAUCUAGUCUUCACCUUCUAUCCUAGGGAUAGACAUUAGGAAUAUUUGAGGAUGUUGUUCUUGGUCUUCACGUUCAUGCAUUUUCCCUCUAUUUUUAUAAUUGGAUCAAUGAAUCAAUAAGCAAAUAUAUUUUAACUGCAUAAAGAUAAAAAUAGGCGUUGUCCAAUUAUGGAAAUAUAUGGUGAAAUAAGAAAUACUAUUCACAUUUAUUAAAAACACUGAGGUCUUCUUUCUAUUAACAAAUAAAUGACUCAGAGGUAUUACUCGCUUGCUGCAGGAUGGCAUAUACAGUAAAAAUAAUAAUAACGUAUGUGAGGUCAUUUGGGUCAGGACCAUGUUCAUGGUUGUUUGUUUUCUCAAGAAAAAAUAGUUUCACACAUACUUACAUGACUAAUAGAAUGAAAGGAGAAAUGUGUGGAUAAAUGGACAGAAUAUUUCCAUCUUUUUAUCUUUUUUGCUUUGUACUCUCACAAUGAACACCCUCAAGUUGACUUAAGCACCCUUCCAUGGUCAUGAGGUUUCUGGUUGCCUCUGUGUGUUAGAAGCUUGGAGACCAAUGCCUUCUGCUGUGAUCGCGUUCUCCACAGUUGCCUCUGGGUAGGAGCCUGGACACUAAUAGAAAAUGGAUGCACUUGAGCCGACCUAAGCAUUCAUGGUCAUGAGAUUUGUGGUUGCCACUGUUGGUUAGGAGCAUAGAGAUCAGUAAUGGACACACCUGGGCUGGCAGAACAUCUUGCCUUGAUCUGGAGCCCCAUGUCUGCCCCUCUGUAGAGGUGCACAUGGGCCAAUGAUGGAUGCAAUGAGCUGAUCAUUUUGCUGUGAUCAAGGCUAUGUUGCCUCUGUGUUAGGCCAAUGGUUGAUGUUCAUGGGUGAUUGAUCAUCCUGUAGCGACGGUGGUAUUGACUGUUCCCCAGAGGACAAGGAGUGUGUUCUUAUGUGGAGGCUGUCUGCAGUAGGAGCAUGGAGACCAACAAUGGAUGCUCUUAAACUGAUUUAAGCACGCUUCCAUGGUCAGAAGCCUUAUGGUUGCCACAGGGUAUUAGGAGCAUGGAGACCAAUGUGAGUAAUCAUCAAAGUUUGCUUCUUGGUGUGGGUUGUUUGCUUAAAGGUAUUAUUAUUCACUCACUAUAUUAUUGAAAAGAGUGAAUUAUAAUCAAAGAAGACCAAUUGUUGUGCAGUGACAAAAUUGAUAUAAAGCACUAUAUAAAUUAAUGGGUAUAUGAAAAACUGAAGAUAAUAAAGGAGAGAUGAUGACAUAAGAUGACUUUAUAUACAGACUAGAAAUAUCAAGUUUCUCCUUGGGUUUUGUGAAUAUAGGGCUUUAAAAUUAUUAGUGAACGAAUUAACUAAUCAAUGGAUAAUGUGGAAGUGAGAGGAGAAAAAGAGAACCAAUCCUGGAUUGAUGAUAUGAUGGCCACUGGUGGCUUAUGAGUCUUAUACAGUGAAUACAUGUUUGAAACUCUGAGGUCUGUUAGAAAAGAUACAUGGCCCAUUCUCUCUGUUUCAAAUGAUGCUACAGAAAUAAUUCAGAAAUGUUUUUAUUUGUGAUAAUUUCAU
rnacentral:lncRNA from 1 species